UGGGGAAUAUUGCACAAUGGGGGAAACUCUGAUGCAGCGACGCCGCGUGAACGAAGAAGGUAUUCGUAUCGUAAAGUUCUGUCCUAUGGGAAGAUAAUGACAGUACCAUAGAAGAAAGCCCCGGCUAAAUACGCCCCAGCAGCCGCGGUAAUACGUAUGGAGCGAGCGUUUUCCGGAAUUAUUGGGCGUAAAGGGUAUGCAGGCGGUUUAAUAAGUCGAAUGUUAAAGAUCGGGGCUCAACCCCGUAAAGCAUUGGAAACUGAGAAACUUGAGUAGUGGAGAGGAAAGUGGAAUUCCUAGUGUAGUGGUGAAAUACGUAGAUAUAAGGGGGAGUACCAGUAGCGAAGGCGACGUUCUGGAGACAAACUGACGCUGAGGUACGAAAGCGUGGGGAGCAAACAGG
rnacentral:rRNA from 1 species